rnacentral:rRNA from 1 species
UACGUAGGGUGCGAGCGUUACUCGGAAUUACUGGGCGUAAAGCGUGCGCAGGCGGUUUUGUAAGCCAGAUGUGAAAUCCCCGGGCUUAACCUGGGAAUGGCAUUUGGGACUGCAAGGCUUGAGUGCGGCAGAGGAGACUGGAAUUCCUGGUGUAGCAGUGAAAUGCGUAGAUAUCAGGAGGAAUACCGAUGGCGAAGGCGGGUCUCUGGGCCGAUACUGACGCUGAGGAGCGAAAGCGUGGGGAGCGAACAGG